CAUCACACACACACACACACACCCUCACCACACACCAUCGUCUGUGUGGAUUUAGGUGAGAGUGCGUCUGUGGGCGUGUCGCCUCUUGUAGCGACCAUCAGUGACGUCAGUCAUUCCUUAUUUUCCUUCAUCGUUUUUUCUCCUCCUCCAUAAUGUCAAAUUUGUCCACGCUUUAUCAACAACUAAAUGGAAAGAAGAUAUAUAUACAUAUACAUAUAUAUAUAUAUAUUUAUUUUUUUUAAAUAGCCGAAUUGUCUUUUUUCUUUAUCUCUGGCCAAUGGGAAUUGCGCACGACCGUGAUUUGACUGCUGCGAUGUCGUGCGCAGUUUCCAGCGUUACACCCGGAAACAAGCGAAGUAUUCUGCUCUCAGCUGUUUCCUUAUAAAACAUGUCUGUGCCGAUCCGUGGCUCAUUUUCCGUCGCAGCCAGCGGGAGGAGGAGGAGGAGGAGGAGGAGGAGGAGGUGAGCUGGAUGUCUGCUGCGGCUGCAGGAUGUUGCGCACUUCGUUUUUACCUCAGGAGUGAGUGGUCCGUUCAUCCAUGCUGCGCAACGGUUUAAUAUCAUGAGACGGAGUGUCACAUCCAUCUGUUGUGGCCGACAUCUCUCGACAUCACAAACCCCAGACUUGACUACAACGGAUCUGAUGGCUGUUUGAAGAAGCACCGUAAGAGAAACUAUUGACCUGCUGAGGCCAAAAAGUCCGCGAGACGUGGUUUUCUCCUUCGAGGACCAGAUUCUGGAACGCGAGCCGACGACGCCAGAGAGAUGCCCGUCUGCAUUCCUCCGAGCUGAAACUGCAAAUCAGGUCUGUUGUCCAAUUUGCAUGAGAAAUGAAGAACCAUGUGACCCAGGGCCACUGGGAUCCGGCAGGAACCCUCCCCGAGACACAUUUGUUUCUGCGUAGUGAGGAGAGACAGAGGCGGUGACGCAGUCGUUUCUGGGCUGGAGUACGCAGCAGCUCGUAUCUAUCUCUCUCUCUCUAUCUGCCUUUCUUCUUCCAUCUGUUCAUCGGCCCAUCCGUUUCUCUCCGAGAGAGAAAGGGAGCCAUGAAAACGGGGCUAAGUGUCAUGGCUGAGGAUCAGAGGCAGAGAGAAACUGCGAGAGGGAGAAAGGGAGAAGUUGUUUACCUUGCUCUCUUGGUGACUUUGCUUUGGCUCCCCUCCAGUUCACAUGCGCUGGACUUCCUAAAGCUGCAGCAUCACAGGCCGUCGUGCCAAAAGCUGGCUUCCCAUUGGCUGGGAGGAGCUCCACAAGCUGCACAGCAGAACUUCAUUGGCUCAGUGCGAAGCGAGCAGCCGGAGGUCAACGUCUGAUUGGUUAAGAAGCGCUCCGUCUCCUCAGAGGUUUUCUGCAAUUCCAGAAACACUGUUACCUGGAUAUACAUCAGCCUCAUGUAUGUUUGUUUUUAUAUGAGUUGACGUAUUGAUAAUUGUUAAAAAGGUGAUUCGGGUUUAUAAAAAAAGUAAGCUUGCGUUUCCUAUGUGAGUUUAUUUUGCUGGAUCAGAUGCUUUUCAGUCAUGUUUUUCUUCGGAACAUCGCUGUCUGUGUUUGAGUGUAAAUCUUACAGCAUUUGUGAGGUGAUUAUCGUGUAUUCGUCAUCCAGCUGAUGUUGAUAUUUCCAUCUUUACCUGCCUCUUACGACGCGGUGGGCAAACUCAAGGCCUCGGUAACGCAAUGUUGUGCAGUUAUCGUUAUUUCCCAAAUCGUUUCCGUGGAUGUUUCCCGUGAAGAGCUAUGAAAUGAGUGCUGAUGACAAGGAAAUUAAAGAUACGAUUUAUCUACGACAUUA